GGUGAAGUCAUUGAUGCCAUGCUUCCAGGAAAAGCCUCUAAGCUUCAGAUUGUAAGGAAUCGUACCCCAAACCGACACAGGUGGUCGGGUAGAGAAUACCAAGGCGCUUGAGAGAACUCGGGUGAAGGAACUAGGCAAAAUGGUACCGUAACUUCGGGAGAAGGUACGCUCUCGACGGUGAAAUCCCUCGCGGAUGGAGCUAUUGAGAGUCGCAGAUACCAGGUGGCUGCAACUGUUUAUUAAAAACACAGCACUGUGCAAAAUCGUAAGAUGACGUAUACGGUGUGACGCCUGCCCGGUGCCGGAAGGUUAAUUGAUGGGGUUAGACUUCGGUCGAAGCUCUUGAUCGAAGCCCCGGUAAACGGCGGCCGUAACUAUAACGGUCCUAAGGUAGCGAAAUUCCUUGUCGGGUAAGUUCCGACCUGCACGAAUGGCGUAAUGAUGGCCACGCUGUCUCCACCCGAGACUCAGUGAAAUUGAAAUCGCUGUGAAGAUGCAGUGUACCCGCGGCUAGACGGAAAGACCCCGUGAACCUUUACUACAGCUUGGCACUGAACAUUGACCCUACAUGUGUAGGAUAGGUGGGAGGCUUUGAAGCACGUACGCCAGUAUGUGUGGAGCCGUCCUUGAAAUACCACCCUUGUAGUGUUGAUGUUCUAACGUCGACCCCUUAUCGGGGUUGCGGACAGUGCCUGGUGGGUAGUUUGACUGGGGCGGUCUCCUCCCAAAGAGUAACGGAGGAGCACGAAGGUGGGCUAAUCACGGUUGGACAUCGUGAGGUUAGUGCAAUGGCAUAAGCCCGCUUGACUGCGAGAAUGACAAUUCGAGCAGGUGCGAAAGCAGGUCAUAGUGAUCCGGUGGUUCUGAAUGGAAGGGCCAUCGCUCAACGGAUAAAAGGUACUCCGGGGAUAACAGGCUGAUACCGCCCAAGAGUUCAUAUCGACGGCGGUGUUUGGCACCUCGAUGUCGGCUCAUCACAUCCUGGGGCUGAAGUCGGUCCCAAGGGUAUGGCUGUUCGCCAUUUAAAGUGGUACGCGAGCUGGGUUUAGAACGUCGUGAGACAGUUCGGUCCCUAUCUGCCGUGGGCGUUGGAAGAUUGAAGGGGGCUGCUCCUAGUACGAGAGGACCGGAGUGGACGAACCUCUGGUGUUCGGGUUGUGUCGCCAGACGCAUUGCCCGGUAGCUAAGUUCGGAAUCGAUAACCGCUGAAAGCAUCUAAGCGGGAAGCGAGCCCUGAGAUGAGUCUUCCCUGAUACUUUAAGUAUCCUAAAGGGUUGUCGGAGACUACGACGUUGAUAGGUCAGGUGUGUAAGUGCUGUGAGGCAUUGAGCUAACUGAUACUAAUUGCCCGUGAGGCUUAACCAUACAACACCCAAGGGGUUU
rnacentral:rRNA from 1 species